AUGCCUGCCCGCCCCCGCAACCCCUGCCAUAGCGGUGACGUGAGCCGUGCAGGCCUCACGCCCGCGGCCAUCUGUGCCCAGACCUGUGCCAGGGGCCGGGGGCCGCGAGUGCCGGGACUCUCGGCCCUGGAGCAGGUGGCCCCUCUGUGGGGGGUGGUAGGGACAGGCAGGUGGAGCCGGCCUGGCUUCUCUUUGGAGUGUCCUGUGCCCGGCAGGCGUCUGUCAGGGCCGGGGUCGGGCCUUCCUGCUCCAUUGCCGGCCCUGGAGCCCUUACCGGCAGGAAGCCUGGCCCAAGCUCUUGCCCAGCCGAGGCCACUCCUGCCACAGAAGCUGAUUUUGCAAACUUCAGGAACAGGGCACCUCGUGAGGGCUGGGGCCCGAGGCCAGGGCUCGGGUCCCCUCCUCAUGAGGCCCCUGUCAGGGGACGUCGGAGUCCGGCGCAAGGCCCAGGCAGGGUGGGAGAGAGGGGAAGGCAGGAGAGGGCCCAGGAGAUGGGCCCAGACAGGUGGGGCCGUGUCUGGGUCCUCCGUGCAACGAAGGUGGGCCCCGAGCACUGCCGUGGCGUCUGCACGCUCGCGCGCGUGGGAGAGCCAGGUCGGCUUGCGCACGAGCCGGCAAGGGACAGGUGCCACCACUGCCCUUCCAAGUCUCCCCCCCCCCCCCAUGAACUUCCCUUCCCUGUCUCAGCCCCACCCAGGUGGCUGGGUAUCCUUGUCCUCCUUUCCUUUUCCGGGGCUCCCUCCAGCACUGCGGCUGCAGGCAUGGGGCAGGGUGGUGAGUUCCCAUGGGGUCCAACCCCCCCCCCUCGCCCUUGGUGGAGCUUUGACCUGGUGGACGUGUGGCCCACACCCCCAACUUCCUGUUUCUAAGAAAAAGCAGUCCCAGAAAAGUCUUUGGUGGCGGAGGGGGGGGGGGGAGUUGGGGGGGGAAAUCUUUGGAGGCUUCUGGCCAAGGUCUGGGGAGGCGCUGGGAGGGGUUUUAUUUUGUUUUGUUCAGAGGCGGGGAGGGGGGACGGGGGGGGGGGGGGGGGGGGGGGGAGGGGGGGGAGGGGGGGACUCGAGGAGAGCUGCGGCGGGUGUGGCCUGGCUGGGCAAUCACUGGUCCAUCACUGUCCGGCCAUCUGCCUUCCCUGGACACCUGCUUCCCCAGGCAGGAAGGCAGCGGUCAACUGGGCCAGGGGCCCAGGUCAAGGCUCCUCCGCCCCGGCGUGGCCGCCUUGGGUCUAGUCUCCCCAGCACCCAUGUCAGGAUAUGGGCCACCCCCCACCCACCAUCCUGCAGCUGGCAGUGA
rnacentral:lncRNA from 1 species